rnacentral:rRNA from 1 species
AUACGGAGGGUGCAAGCGUUACUCGGAAUCACUGGGCGUAAAGGAUGCGUAGGCUGGAUGUCAAGUUGGAAGUGAAAUCCUAUGGCUUAACCAUAGAACUGCUUCCAAAACUGGCAACCUAGAGUGAGGGAGAGGCAGAUGGAAUUAGUGGUGUAGGGGUAAAAUCCGUAGAUAUCACUAGGAAUACCGAUUGCGAAGGCGAUCUGCUAGAACUCUACUGACGCUAAGGCAUGAAAGCGUGGGGAGCAAACAGGAUUAGAUACCCUAGUAGUCC